rnacentral:rRNA from 1 species
AGAGUUUGAUCCUGGCUCAGAUUGAACGCUGGCGGUAUGCUUAACACAUGCAAGUCGAACGGAAACGAUGGAAGCUUGCUUCCAGGCGUCGAGUGGCGGACGGGUGAGUAACGCGUAGGAAUCUGCCUGAUAGUGGGGGAUAGCCCGGAGAAAUUCGGAUUAAUACCGCAUAAUCUACACGUAGUAAAGGAGGCCUCUAUUUAUAAGCUUCCGCUAUCAGAUGAGCCUGCGUAAGAUUAGCUUGUUGGUGAGGUAAAAGCUCACCAAGGCGACGAUCUUUAGCUGGUCUGAGAGGAUGAUCAGCCACACUGGGACUGAGACACGGCCCAGACUCCUACGGGAGGCAGCAGUGGGGAAUAUUGGACAAUGGGGGCAACCCUGAUCCAGCAAUACCGCGUGUGUGAAGAAGGCCUGAGGGUUGUAAAGCACUUUCAAUUGUGAAGAAAAGCUAAAGGUUAAUAACCUUUAGCCUUGACGUUAACUUUAGAAGAAGCACCGGCUAACUCCGUGCCAGCAGCCGCGGUAAUACGGAGGGUGCGAGCGUUAAUCGGAAUUACUGGGGUAAUGCGUAGGUGGUUUGUUAAGUCAGAUGUGAAAGCCCCGGGCUCAACCUGGGAACUGCAUUUGAAACUGGCAAACUAGAGUAUAGGAGAGGAAAGUGGAAUUUCAGGUGUAGCGGUGAAAUGCGUAGAUAUCUGAAGGAACAUCAAUGGCGAAGGCAGCUUUCUGGACUAAUACUGACACUGAGGUACGAAAGCGUGGGUAGCAAACAGGAUUAGAUACCCUGGUAGUCCACGCCGUAAACGAUGACAACUAGCCGUUGGGAGGGUUUACCUCUUAGGGCGAAGCUAACGCGUUAAGUUGUCCGCCUAAAAGAC